rnacentral:tRNA from 1 species
ACCGAUUUAGUAUAUAGUUUAGUGCGUGGGAUUGUAGCUCCUGAGGAAGAGGUAUUUCUGGUCGGAG